rnacentral:rRNA from 1 species
GGUGAACGCUAGCGGUGCGCCUAACACAUGCAAGUCGAGCGGUAGAAUUUUUUUAGCUUGCUAGAAAAAUUUGAGAGCGGCGAACGGGUGAGUAACACGUUGGUAUCUGCCCCCAAGUCAGGGAUAGCCAUUGGAAACGAUGAUUAAUACCGGAUAGUCUCUACGGAGUAAAAAUUUAUUGCUUGGGGAGGAGCCUGCGUUCUAUCAGCUUGUUGGUAGUGUAAAAGACUACCAAGGCUAUGACGGAUAACUGGUCUGAGAGGAUGAUCAGUCACAAUGAAACUGAGACACGGUUCAUACUCCUACGGGAGGCAGCAGUGAGGAAUCUUCCACAAUGGGCGAAAGCCUGAUGGAGCGACACCGCGUGAAGGAUGAAGGUCUAACGAUUGUAAACUUCUUUUCUGAGGGAGCAUAAUGAGAGUACCUCAGGAAUAAGGGACGGCUAAUUACG